GUUGGUGCAAAAGUAAUCGCGGUUUUUGCCAUAAAAGUAAUAGCAAAAACUGUAAUUACUUUUGCACGAACCUAA
rnacentral:miRNA from 1 species